AAGCUAUUGUCAAGAUCCUGCUCUUCCUCCUCUGCCUCAUCAUCCUCAUGUACCACUUGAGGAAGGUGACGAGGCCCACACAGGGCAUGGAGAAAGCCAACACUGUCUCAAGUUAAUCUCUCAGGUGAACUUGAUGCCCUCUCCCCCACAUCAUGACCUUUGUAGUGCCUGUGGCCUCCUCUCCUCCCUGAGCCUUGAACAUAC